GAUGAACGCUGGCGGCGUGCCUAAGACAUGCAAGUCGAGUGGGUUUAGGCCCACGGCAAACGGGUGAGUAAUAUCUAGGAACGUGCCCUGAGUUGAGCAUAACCUACCGAAAGGUACAGCAAUUCUCAAUGUGAUCGCAAGAUUAAAGUCGCAAGACGCUCAGGAAGCGGCCUGGACACCAUCAGCUAGUUGGUAAGGUAAAGGCUUACCAAGGCUUUGACGGUUAGGGGUCCCGAG
rnacentral:rRNA from 1 species